AAAGUAGGGGAUCGCAAGACCUCGCGCGAUUGGAGUGGCCGAUGUCAGAUUAGCUAGUUGGUGGGGUAAAGGCCUACCAAGGCAACGAUCUGUAGCUGGUCUGAGAGGAUGAUCAGCCACACUGGGACUGAGACACGGCCCAGACUCCUACGGGAGGCAGCAGUGGGGAAUUUUGGACAAUGGGGGCAACCCUGAUCCAGCCAUUCCGCGUGAGUGAAGAAGGCCUUCGGGUUGUAAAGCUCUUUCGGCAGGAACGAAACGGUGAGCUNUAACAUAGCUCCGAUAAUGCCGGUACA
rnacentral:rRNA from 1 species